UACGAAGGGUGCAAGCGUUAAUCGGAAUUACUGGGCGUAAAGCGCGCGUAGGUGGUUCAGCAAGUUGGAUGUGAAAGCCCUGGGCUCAACCUGGGAACUGCAUCCAAAACUACUGAGCUAGAGUACGGUAGAGGGUAGUGGAAUUCCAGGUGUAGCGGUGAAAUGCGUAGAUAUCUGGAGGAACAUCAGUGGCGAAGGCGGCCCCCUGGAUCAAUACUGACGCUGAGGUGCGAAAGCGUGGGGA
rnacentral:rRNA from 1 species